rnacentral:rRNA from 1 species
CACUGCCGAGAAAAGCCUCUAGAUAGAAAAUAGGUGCCCGUACCGCAAACCGACACAGGUAGUCAAGAUGAGAAUUCUAAGGUGAGCGAGCGAACUCUCGUUAAGGAACUCGGCAAAAUGACCCCGUAACUUCGGGAGAAGGGGUGCUCUUUAGGGUUAACGCCCAGAAGAGCCGCAGUGAAUAGGCCCAAGCGACUGUUUAUCAAAAACACAGGUCUCUGCUAAACCGUAAGGUGAUGUAUAGGGGCUGACGCCUGCCCGGUGCUGGAAGGUUAAGAGGAGUGGUUAGCUUCUGCGAAGCUACGAAUCGAAGCCCCAGUAAACGGCGGCCGUAACUAUAACGGUCCUAAGGUAGCGAAAUUCCUUGUCGGGUAAGUUCCGACCCGCACGAAAGGCGUAACGAUUUGGGCACUGUCU